GUCGAACGCCGUGAGACAACGCCAUGCAAUGGCGGCCCGUAGGGCAAGGAACGCCGUGACGCGUCAUCCUUCCCCCAUCCCCC
rnacentral:sRNA from 1 species